rnacentral:misc_RNA from 1 species
CAUUGAGCACCUAUUGGUCAACCUCUGUUGAUGGCAUUGACCUGGAAACAGAACGAAGAGAACGGAAGGGAUGGAGGGUGAAGAUACAUGAUCUCUUUGGCUCAGCUGUUGCGGCAGGCCUCCNNNNNNNNCCAUCAACAGGCUGUGAUUGGGUUGCCAAGUCCAACCCAGGAGCUUGGUUGAUUGUUCGCCCUGAUGUUUGCAGACCUGAGAGCUGGCAGCCAUG